UACAGAGGUCUCGAGCGUUGUUCGGAUUCAUUGGGCGUAAAGGGCGCGUAGGCUGCGGGGUAAGUCAGGUGUGAAAUCUCAGAGCUCAACUCUGAAAUUGCACUUGAUACUGCUCUGCUAGAGGACUGGAGAGGAGAUUGGAAUUUACGGUGUAGCGGUGAAAUGCGUAGAUAUCGUAAGGAAGACCAGUGGCGAAGGCGGGUCUCUGGACAGUUCCUGACGCUGAGGCACGAAGGCCAGGGGAGCAAACGGG
rnacentral:rRNA from 1 species